AACGAUGUCGACUUGGAGGUUGUGCCCUUGAGGCGUGGCUUCCGGAGCUAACGCGUUAAGUCGACCGCCUGGGGAGUACGGCCGCAAGGUUAAAACUCAAAUGAAUUGACGGGGGCCCGCACAAGCGGUGGAGCAUGUGGUUUAAUUCGAUGCAACGCGAAGAACCUUACCUGGUCUUGACAUCCACGGAAGUUUUCAGAGAUGAGAAUGUGCCUUCGGGAACCGUGAGACAGGUGCUGCAUGGCUGUCGUCAGCUCGUGUUGUGAAAUGUUGGGUUAAGUCCCGCAACGAGCGCAACCCUUAUCCUUUGUUGCCAGCGGUCCGGCCGGGAACUCAAAGGAGACUGCCAGUGAUAAACUGGAGGAAGGUGGGGAUGACGUCAAGUCAUCAUGGCCCUUACGACCAGGGCUACACACGUGCUACAAUGGCGCAUACAAAGAGAAGCGACCUCGCGAGAGCAAGCGGACCUCAUAAAGUGCGUCGUAGUCCGGAUUGGAGUCUGCAACUCGACUCCAUGAAGUCGGAAUCGCUAGUAAUCGUGGAUCAGAAUGCCACGGUGAAUACGUUCCCGGGCCUUGUACACACCGCCCGUCACACCAUGGGAGUGGGUUGCAAAAGAAGUAGGUAGCUUAACCUUCGGGAGGGCGCUUACCACUUUGUGAUUCAUGACUGGGGUGAAGUCGUAACAAGGUAACCGUAGGGGAACCUGCGGUUG
rnacentral:rRNA from 1 species